rnacentral:rRNA from 1 species
UGAAACAUCUAAGUACCUGAAGGAAGAGAAAGAAAUUCGAUUCCGUAAGUAGCGGCGAGCGAACGCGGAUUAGCCAAAACCAAUAAAGUUUUCUUUAUUGGGGUUGCGGACAUAUCAUAACGAAGAGGUAUCGUAAUUGAAGAGGUUUGGAAAGACCCACCACAGAAGGUAAUAGUCCUGUAUGUUAAACGAGAAGACUU